UACGUAGGGUGCAAGCGUUGUCCGGAAUUAUUGGGCGUAAAGAGCUCGUAGGCGGUGUGUCGCGUCUGCUGUGAAAACUCAGGGCUCAACUCUGAGCUUGCAGUGGGUACGGGCACACUUGAGUGCUGUAGGGGAGACUGGAAUUCCUGGUGUAGCGGUGAAAUGCGCAGAUAUCAGGAGGAACACCGGUGGCGAAGGCGGGUCUCUGGGCAGUUACUGACGCUGAGGAGUGAAAGCAUGGGGAGCGAACAGG
rnacentral:rRNA from 1 species